GCAGCCAUGACCUUGGGGAAGCUGUCGCCGUCUGGGUGUUGUCUGCUUCUGGGGGGACGUUCCCUGUCAGCCGUACUUGACAAUCUCUGGCAGGGGUGCAAGUCUAGAGUCUGGAGGGGCCCUUUGGCGAGUGAGAUGGGAACCAAAUUCAAGACAUUGGCAUUUAGCGGCAUGUGGGUGGGAGAACUGGCGUGCCUUCCCGGGGGGCCAGGGCAGCCUUUCUGUGCCGUUCUCCUAGACUCUCUCGGGUUGGAUUCUCCUCGGUUGGUGGAUCCUGAGAAGACGCCUGUGCCUGGUGAAGAUGCAUUAGAGCGUCGCCCCUGAGCCGGGUCUGGAGCUACGUGAGGUUCUGCAGCUGCAUCUUGGCCCUCCUCCCACGCACAGCUUCUGUGCAACCCGGACACGCAGGCCACACAGAAGGAGGUCACGAGAGCUCGUCACAUCCCCCUGGAGGUGGCAGGUUGUGUUGUUCCGUCUCCUCCACCGUCAGACGAUGGGUGGGGAACUUGUAACACAGGAAGCUUCAAGGAGUCAGGAAAGACCAGGCACAUCCGGCCCUCCGUGAAUCCGUGCUUAAAACUGGGUUUACAUCCUUUCCAAAAGCUGUUUUGUUUCUCCAACUCGGGUGCAUAGCAUGGCUUAUUAAAUUGGUUAUUGGAGGCAAUUUGACCUGGA